rnacentral:rRNA from 1 species
AUGAACAUGGGUUUAUUCCAAGCGGCUCUCCCAGCAUAUCCCUUCCACCUCCUCUCUUCUCCCGAUUCAACCCUCGUCUCCCUCCCAUCCCACGCCGCCGCCGCCGCCGCCGCCCACCACCCCGGCGACCUCCCCACCGGCGAUCCCCAGCCUCUCCCUCUCCUUCUCCCCUGCAUCCGUCGCCCGCACCUUCCCUCCCAGUCCCAGAUCACCCACUCGCUGUCGCUGGUCACCCACUCGCUGGACGCUCCUAGGCUCCUAGGUCACCCACUCCCCCACCCAGCGCCGCCGCGGAGAGGGAAUUGGGCGAUGGCGAUGUCGAUGUCGGCGGCCACCCGCGCGAUGCGGCGCAUCCACGCGCGCCGCACCUCCGCCUCCUGCCUCCUCCGCUCCGCCCGCCCGGACCCCAACCCGGCGGUGCUGCAGGGCCAAGCGCCCGUGCCCCGCUGGUACUGGGGAGCCGCCGCGGGCGCCGAUCCGCCGUCGACCCAAGCGCACCUUGGCGUGGCCACAGUGCCGCAGCGACAGGUGUUCGUGGUCGAGCGAUUCUGCCAGUACCACAAGAUCCUGCCCACUAGGGUUCACUUCCUCGUGCCUGUGCUUUUCUUGUGUUACUAG